AGAGUUUGAUCCUGGCUCAGGAUGAACGCUGGCGGCGUGCCUAAUACAUGCAAGUCGAACGAGGUGCUUUUGUAGCAAUACGAGAGUAUCCUAGUGGCGAACGGGUGAGUAACGCGUUGGUGACCUACCCCAAAGUGUGGGAUAACAGUCCGAAAGGAUUGCUAAUACCGCAUGUGGUCAUUGGAUUUAGAAACUGAUGACUAAAGGAGCAAUUCGCUUUGGGAGGGACCUGCGUCCCAUCAGCUAGUUGGUGAGGUAACGGCUCACCAAGGCGACGACGGGUAGGGGACCUGAGAGGGUGGCCCCCCACAAUGGAACUGAAACACGGUCCAUACACCUACGGGUGGCAGCAGAAGGGAAUCUUGCGCAAUGGGCGAAAGCCUGACGCAGCGACGCCGCGUGCGGGAUGAAGGCCUUCGGGUCGUAAACCGCUUUCAGCAGGGACGAAAUUGACGGUACCUGCAGAAGAAGGCCCGGCCAACUACGUGCCAGCCGCCGCGGUAAUAC
rnacentral:rRNA from 1 species